rnacentral:rRNA from 1 species
UGCAGUUGUACGAUAUUUUCGUAGCGAACGGGUGAGGAGUGUACAAAAUUUUUACCUUUAAGUUUAGGAUAAAACAUAUUCAAAAACUUAUUUUUUUGAAAAAGCAUUUUAAAAUGUAUGUGUUAAUACUAGUAAAGUUUGUUUUAUUACAAACAAUCGCUAAAAGAUAACUUUGUAUAAGAUUAGGUAGUUGGUAAUUUAACAGAUUACAAAGCCAUUGAUCUUUAGUUGGUCUGAGAGGAUGAUCAACCACACUGGAACUGAGAAAGGUCCAGGCUGAGUUUUCGGCCAGCAGUAAAGAAUAUUGGACAAUGAACGAAGGUUUGAUCCAGCAAUACUAUUUGAAUGAUGAGUGCUGUAAUUUGGUUGUAAAGUUCUUUCGUUAAAAGUGAUAAUGACAAUUUAAAGAAUGAAAGUCCCGGCUAAUCUCGUGCCAGCAGCCGCGGUAAUACG